UACGGGGGGGGGCAAGCGUUGUUCGGACUUACUGGGCGUAAAGGGCUCGUAGGUGGCCAACUAAGUCAGACGUGAAAUCCCUCGGCUUAACCGGGGAACUGCGUCUGAUACUGGAUGGCUUGAGUUUGGGAGAGGGACGCGGAAUUCCAGGUGUAGCGGUGAAAUGCGUAGAUAUCUGGAGGAACACCGGUGGCGAAGGCGGCGUCCUGGACCAACACUGACACUGAGGAGCGAAAGCCAGGGGAGCAAACGGG
rnacentral:rRNA from 1 species